rnacentral:tRNA from 1 species
GGUUGUGACUCAGAGGUAGAGCGCUUGCCUAGCACAUGGGAGGCCCUGGGUUUGAUCCUCAGCACCA